rnacentral:rRNA from 1 species
GACGUAGGAUGCAAGCGUUGUCCGGAUUUAUUGGGCGUAAAGAGUUCGUAGGUGGUUUGUUAAGUCUGAUGUUAAAGACUGGGGCUCAACCUCGGAAAUGCAUUGGAUACUGGCAGACUUGAGUGUGGUAGAGGCAAUCGGAAUUCCAGGUGUAGCGGUGAAAUGCGUAGAUAUCUGGAAGAACACCGGUGGCGCAGGCGGCGUUCUGGACUGCAACUGACACUGAAAAACGAAAGCCAGGGGAGCAAACGGG